UACGUAGGGGGCUAGCGUUGUCCGGAGUCAUUGGGCGUAAAGAGCGUGUAGGCGGCCCGGUAAGUCCGCUGUGAAAGUCGGGGGCUCAACCCUCGAAUGCCGGUGGAUACUGUCGGGCUAGAGUGCGGAAGAGGCGAGUGGAAUUCCUGGUGUAGCGGUGAAAUGCGCAGAUAUCAGGAGGAACACCAAUUGCGAAGGCAGCUCGCUGGGACGUAACUGACGCUGAGACGCGAAAGCGUGGGGAGCAAACAGG
rnacentral:rRNA from 1 species